GCCGCGGUAAGACGUAGGGCGCGAGCGUUGUCCGGAUUUAUUGGGCGUAAAGAGCUCGUAGGCGGCUUGUCGCGUCGAAUGUGAAAUCUCGGGGCUCAACUCCGAGCUUGCAUUCGAUACGGGCAGGCUAGAGUUCGGUAGGGGAGACUGGAAUUCCUGGUGUAGCGGUGAAAUGCGCAGAUAUCAGGAGGAACACCGAUGGCGAAGGCAGGUCUCUGGGCCGAUACUGACGCUGAGGAGCGAAAGCGUGGGGAGCGAACAGGAUUAGAUACCCUGGUAGUCCACGCUGUAAACGUUGGGCGCUAGGUGUGGGGACCCUCUCCGGGUUUCUGCGCCGCAGCUAACGCAUUAAGCGCCCCGCCUGGGGAGUACGGCCGCAAGGCUAAAACUCAAAGGAAUUGACGGGGGCCCGCACAAGCGGCGGAGCAUGCGGAUUAAUUCGAUGCAACGCGAAGAACCUUACCUGGGUUUGACAU
rnacentral:rRNA from 1 species